rnacentral:rRNA from 1 species
UACGAACUGUGCGAACGUUACUCGGAAUCACUGGGCUUACAGGGUGCGUAGGCGGCUUGCUAAGCAGGGUGUGAAAUCCCUCGGCUCAGCCGAGGAACUGCGCUCUGAACUGGCGAGCUGGAGGAUGCUAGAGGUGUAUGGAACAUCUAGUGGAGCGGUGAAAUGUGUUGAUAUUAGAUGGAACACCGGAGGCGAAGGCGAUACACUGGGGCAUAUCUGACGCUGAGGCACGAAAGCCAGGGGAGCAAACGGGAUUAGAAACCCUGGUAGU